GGUUUGAUUAUGGCUCAGAUUGAACGCUGGCAGGAUGUGCUUUACACAUGCAAGUCGAACGCUUGGCACGGACUUCAGUCUGGUGGCGAGUGGCGAACGGGUGAGUAAUGUAUCGGAACGUGCCUAGUAGCGGGGGAUAACUACGCCGAAAGCGUAGCUAAUACCGCAUACGCCCUUCGGGGGAAAGCGGGGACCUUCGGGCCUCGCACUGUGAAACGGCCGAUAUCGGAUUAGCUAGUUGGUGGGGUAACGGCUCGCGGGGCGACGAUCCGUAGCUGGUUUGAGGAGGACGACCAGCCACACUGGGACUGAGGCGGCCCAGACUCUCCGCAGGAGGCAGCGGUGGGGAAUUUUGGACAAUGGGGGAAACCUGAUCCAGCCAUCCGCGAUCUGUGCGAUGAAGGCCUUCCGGGUUGUAAAGCACUUUUGGCAGGAAAAACGGCACGGAUAAUACACGUCCUGGCAAGCGGUACCUACGGAAUAAGCACCGGCUAACUGGUGCCAACAGCCGCGGUAAUACGUAGGGUGCAAGCGUUAAUCGGAAUUACUGGGCGUAAAAGCAUUGCGCAGGCGGUUCCGGAAAGAUGUGAAAUCCCAGAGCUUAACUUUGGAACUGCAUUUUUAACUACCGAGCUAGAGAGUGUGUCAGAGAAGUGGAAUUCCGCGUGCUGGCAGUGAAAUGCGUAGAUAUGCGGAGGAACACCGAUGGCGAAGGCGGCCUCCUGGGAUAACACUGACGCUCAUGCACGAAAGCGUGGGGAGCAAACAGGAUUAGAUACCCUGGUAGUCCACGCCUAAACGAUAUCAACUAGCUAUUUGGGGCGUGGGCCUUGGUAGCGCAACUAACGCGUGAAGUUGACCGCCUGGGGAAUACAGUCGCAAGAUUAAAAAACUCAAAAUUGACGGGGACCCGCACAAGCGGUGGAUGAUAUGGAUUAAUUCGGUACAACGCGAAAAACCUUACCUACCCUUGACGUAUCUGGAAUCCGAAGAGAUUUGGAGUGCUCGCAAGAGAACCGGAACACAGGUGCUGCAUGGCUGUCGUCAGCCGUGUCGUGAGAUGUUGGGUUAAGUCCCGCAGCAGCGCAACCCUUGUCAUUAGUUGCUACGAAAGGGCACUCUAAUGAGACUGCCGGUGACAAACCGGAGGAAGGGUGAGGAUGACGUCAAGUCCUCAUGGCCCUUAUGGGUAGGGCUUCACGAUCAUACAAUGGUCAGGACAGAGGGUCGACAACCCGCGAGGAGCCAAUCCCGAAACCCGAUCGUAGUCCGGAUCGCAGUCUGCAACUCGACUGCGUGAAGUCGGAAUCGCUAGUAAUCGCGGGGAUCAGCAUGUCGCGGUGAAUGCGUUCCCGGGUCUUGUACACACCGCCCGUCACACCAUGAAAUUAGGUUUACCAAGUAGUUAGCCUAACCGUAAGGGAGGGGCGAUUACCACAGUAGGAUUCAUGACUGGGGUGAAGUCGUAACAAAGGUAA
rnacentral:rRNA from 1 species